ensembl:lncRNA
CUAAAUCCCAGAAAAAAAAAAUGUUUGUACAAAAUAGUUUUGAGUUUGUACAGUCAAAGGUAGACACUGCUAUUUUUUUGAACACACCCCUUUCAACUAAUUGCCCAAUUGCACAGCCUUAAGAGCGUGCAUAUCAUGAAUGCUGGGUCUCAUUUGUUUUCUGAGAAUCUACUGAACCUACUGGUAACUUGUUUGCCACGUAGCAAUAAAAAAUAUACUAAAAACCUUGAUUAUUCUGGUUAGUCACAUUGUACUGCUAUUAUUUUGAACAAUACUGUACAUUCAGACGUAGCCUUUUCUUUCAGGCCUUCUUUCGUUUUAUUUACCUUUCAUUGUCUCCAUCUCUUUCUGUACGGCAGCAUCUCAUUUUCUCACUUUCUCUUCCUUUCUUUCAGCCUCAAUUCUUUGUUUACCUUCUCUAAAGCUCUCUUUCUCUAUCUCUCUCUCUCUCUGUCUGUCUCUUUCUCCUACACACUAUUGUUUCUCCCUUCCUCCUGCUCAUCUCCAGAGGCCUCUCUUUUCUUUUUUCUUUUCUUUUUUUUAUGGCUGUGACCGUAAAAGCAGCUGUCACACUGCAGACUGAUUUCACAGCUCACACCCUGACCGUGUGUUUUCAGAGCUUUGACCGUCCGACUGUAAAUCAGCCCCUCUCUUAACCGUUUGACCUCUUCUGAAGAGUUUAGGAGAGUUUAAAGGGAAUAAGUGACACUUCACUAGAGGACUUCUGCUUUAAAUAGUCAUUAUCACUAAAGAGAAACCACAAAGAGUAAAAAAAGAUGACAAAAGGAGUCGUAUAAAAAAUUGUCUGGAGAUAAAGAGCUCAGUGUGAUGUGGAAAAAGGACAUCUGUUUAUGUACAGAUAGCAAAAAGUCAUCGGUGGAGGAAGCAGGUUGGAGAACAGCAGCUACUUGUCUGGACGCAGCAUGGGCAUCACGGGGAGAGAAAUAUGACACAAGUCUUCCUCAGACAGCAUAUGUCUCAUACUGUUAUCCAACAUGAACAAGGAGCUGGAGAAACUCUGUACUGAGAAGACAGUGAGCAAGCAGACAAAAGGAGCUGUUCAUGCAAGUAUGUAUUAAUAUGUAUUUUUAAGCAUGAAAAGUUAUUUAUUUAAAAAAUGAAUAAAAACAAAGUCCAACUUUAAAAAUUACUUUCUAAAUUAUUACUUUGGACUUAUUUGUAUUAUUAUUAACAUUAUUAUUAUUAUUAUUAUUCUAAAUAAUAGCCCACUGUUUCUGAACCAUUUUUGUUGCAUGAAUUGGCAUUUGAAUAAUCAAUUGUAAUUGGAUUAAAAGCUGAUCAAUACAGUGUGCAGCGAGGUUUCUGUUAUUUUAGUUUCUCAGUGUUAAAGCCUGUAGCAACUAAAAGUCACCUAACCUCUAAUUCACAAUCUUCAGUUGAAGUCGAGAUAACUGGAGAAAUUGGGAAAUCUGAAAUUUUUUUUUUUUACCACAUUUGGCUUUAAAUUAGAACCCUGAAUAAACAUACACUUUCAGCCAGAUAUGGUUCCCAAAACAAAAAAAAUAAAAUUAUGAUGGCCUCAUCUUCUUGAAUUUGAUAUUCGCUUGAUUGAGAACAAGCAAAUAUAUGUAGCCCCACACAUGACGUGCAAGAAAAAAAUAAUAAAUUAUGUGCACAAUUUUCUAAUUUAUUCUUGAUUUAGAAAUCAUGUGCAUGAUUUAGCAAGUCGAGGGAACACUAUUUUAUCGGGCGCACAAUUUAUAAAUCGAGGGAACAAAAUAGUCAAUUGUGAACACGAUUUAGCCUACAAUUUUUUCCGCCAUCCCAUACCUCCAGGCUCCGUACAAAUACAUUACUAUAUAUUAAAAAAAAAAACUGUUGAAUGGUUUAUCUUAUUUCAAGGACAUAAAGCCAAACCCAGAGAAAUACUGUGUCAGUCCAACAAUAUCAGAAAUAUGAAUACAUAAACCCUGUAAUUAUGAUCAAUCGAGCCAUUUCAACAACAAAGACUGUCAUGCAACUUCUCAGAAUGGGGUCGGGGGCCGCUGAAUCUACAUUUUAUCUCAGCUUGAUGGACUGGGCAUACAUUCUUGUUCAGACAAUGAAAAUGUGAUUGAAUUUCAAGCUACGCUUGCCAUAAAUUUCAAAAGAAAUCAACCACAAGACUACUUUUGAAAGCCCAGACCAAACUGCUGAGUUAGAUUUUCCUACAGAGCCGCCGAUCUCAGACAUCUGUUCAACCAUUCAUUCUACAAUUUAGAAAAACAUCAAAACAAAGCAAAGGCUUUGAUUAAGAGGUGAAAAUAGGUCUCACAGAAUCAGUCGAGCCAAAACUAUAAACUAUACCAAGUUUUUGAUCGGCCAAUUAGGGCUGCACAAUUAAUUGAAUUUCUAAUCGGAUGCCACAAUAACAUAAUCGUUCAAAGCAAUAAUUAAUUGUUCAAAGUCCAUUAAUUUUAUUCUGCAUGCUUAAGAUUAGUUUUUUUCUUUCUACUUGAUAUCUCAAGGUUUUUUGUUCCAUUGUUUUAAUUGUAUAACAUUAUAAUACCAUUAAUUUUUUACUUUAAUUUAAAGAAGAAACCAAUCCGGUGAAUAUUGGACAUUCGAGGCUUAAUAUACUAAAAGCACUAAAAGUUUUUCAGUUCGAGUGUUUUCAGCUUGUUUUCAGGACAUAUUUUCUUCUUCUGCAUACUCUUAGAUGGUCUCUACUGGUUUCUCUUCUAAUAAAGGCAUAUUUGGAUAGUGAUUUAAGGGUCACGGAGAAAGGAAGCUGGAUUCAUUGAUACACACACCUUAGAACAUGUUACUGAAACUGAUAUUCUUAAACAAUAAGGUUGACAUUCACUGACAUACAUACCUUCAGAGGAGGUCAAGUUUUCAGGCAUUACUCUACACUUCCACUCAUUUUUCCGUCUUUUUCACAUUUCUAUUUAUUUUAACAAGGCUAGAGAAAGUUUGGCAGCUGGCACACCAGAUAGGAUUUCUCUUUGUUCAUAUGUUGGCAGCACACUACUCACACAUUUUAGGUCAUUCACAUGCUUGGUGUGCUUGAAGUUUUACUGAAUAUCAUUUCAAGUCAACAACAUGCGAUUAAUAUUGAUGCUAUUUACAUUAUUGAUACACAAUCCUGGUUUUAUUAUGUAUGAUUCACCACUGCAUGUUAUUCCAAAGGAAAAAAUAAUGUUUGUCUUUGUAAUCUUUGUAAUCAAAAUGUAAUAACUCACAAGUUUCCAUUUUGCCUGACAUAACUUUGGCUGUACAUGCUACUGGAAAGUGUUAACAGAUAGCAAAAUAGCUGUAAAUACUUAAACACUGAAAAUAUUAAAGAAAAUGUUUUGUUUUAGGCAAAUAAAAAUAUACUAACUAUAUACUUUACUAUAUUAAAAAUAUAUACUAAAUGUAUAUAUAUAUUUUUAAAAAGUAUUAAUUUAUAUUUCUAAGUUAUGUGUAUUAUUAUUAUUAUUAUUUUAAAUCUUUUGUUCAAUUUAACACCAUUUUAGGAUCAAAUACAGUAACAUUCAUACAUUUUUCUUCACAAGUGUCCCGAUCAGUUUUUUGGGUCACUGUUGGUUUGAAUUAGAACCAUGUAUUCAAUCAAAAUGAGGCACAUACAGUUCAUUCUCCCAACAAUAACAGACCAGAACAAGUAUCACAUUGCAUAACAGACAAAUGUGAAGUAUGGGGCAUAAAGGUCUCUUGACGUACAGCAGCAGCAUGACCUGUCUUAUAUUUCGCAAACUGUGGCGUCUCUAACCCCUGAAGGCAGUUGAAACAGGUCAACGGAGAUAUAUGUGCUUGUGUUUAAGUCACGUUGUACAAAAUGUUGCAUUCAGUGAUAAUCAGUCUUUGUAAACCAACAGUCAAAAUAACUUUUCACUAAGUUUACUAGCAUCUAAUAGCUGUUGAACUUGAACAAUUUUCUUAAUUUAAAGAAACAGUUCACCCAAAAAUUGUACUCCCCCCUCAUGUCGUACUAAAUCUGUACUUUUAUUCCACAAAGGAUCACAAAAGGGAAUAUGAGCUUGUUUUUCACUUGUUUGCUUUAAACAUGCACAGGCUGACAAUGCCUACAUUUCAGAGACAUUUAUUGAUCACGAUCAGAAAAUUACCUUGGAACAGAAAGCAAAACCUGUAAUUUUCUCUUUUUCGUCUCAAUAAUAGGUCAUUGAAUCAGAUCAUUGAAUCUUUUAGUUCAAGCACAGAUUUUUAUAUUCAAAACUGCAACAGAAAUCAUUUAUUUAGUUUCUCAGCUGUUUAAACCGCAUCUCAAAGCAUAAAUGUGGUGUUAAUCGUUCUGUGAUUUCAGUAGAGAAAAUGCUGAUGCUGUUCUCUCAUACAUAUGCUGCUAUUGGUUUGUGAAAAACAGGCCUUAAGUAACAACAGCCUGUAAGAGGCUGCAGGGGGUGACAUCAGAGAUUUGAACAGGAGCCAAUCAGCAGUCGCAGAGGAAAACUGCAAACUUAUCAAAAACCUACUUUUUUUCUUGUUCUCCAGACAGGUAGAGGCCUGUUCACAGGUGAAGGGGGAACCAAAAAUUAAAGUUAAAACGAAUGAGCUUUGCUUGCCAAGAACACCAGAUUAAUUCAGCACUAUAUACAGCGCCCGUGUGCACUUAGUGGCUUGGGGAUUAGUGUUUUAAGAGCCAACACAUGGACGUGGAUCACAUUUCAGAAUUUAUGUGCACAGAAGUGUUUUUUUUUUAGAUCAGAAUCUAAGGCAGAGUACAGCAGAGCAAGAAUUGAACAACCGAGAAUGAAUCACUAUGUAUUGUGUAUCAAACAUUAAUUUUCAAAAUAAUAAGCAAUAAAAAAAAAGUCUUUUUCAACACGUUUGCUGGUUUUUCACAUGAUAGUGUUUAACCCCGGGGGCAAGUUGUCUGAAAGUAAUCUGAUCAGAUUUGAGCUAUUGAAAUGAAUCAAAUCUUGAAAAUGGGUUGCUCAAAAGAAAAAAAUUCUGGAAUCAAAUUAGAUCACAAAAUAUAGUCUUGGUUUUGAUCUGGACCAAAUCACCAGUGUGUGUUGUUCAAAACUCUUUAGUAAGAUUCGGAUAGCUUUGGUCCAAAAAAAAAAAUAAAUUCAGGAUUAUACUGAUCCCAGCAGAAGGUUGGAUUUCAGGAAGAAAAAUCAAAUAAAACUUUAAAACUGGUCCAAAAAUACAAAAAUGUUAAUGUUAAUAUACAUACACAUUAUAUACAGUAUAUAUAUAUAGAGAGAGAGAGAGAGAUUAGACAGGUAGACAUUAUGCUACCUCUUAAGUCUUUCAGUAGCCUCCAGUAAAGUAAAAAAGAGAUUUUGGUGUCAUAAAAUAAACCCCAUACAGCUGUCAAUAACAAACAAAUAUAUAUUUUUUAAUUAAAAAAGCCCUAUGUAGGACACUUCUGUUAAGAAGUGCUUUAAACUACUUGGAUAACAAAAAUUGCGUAGAACCCUUAUUUAAGGGUUUACCCCUUAUUAAAGUUUGUGAGCGUUAGCACAGUCCCAUGGUUCAUAUUUAAAUCAAAAUUCUAUUCCACAUAUUUUGAUUUACUGAAACGCUGUCCUUGUGCAAGCACAAAUCUACAUUGUGGGUUUGUUUCUAAGUCUGACACAGAAUUCUGACUCCGCUAAAAACAACUGGUUCAAAAAAAACAUAUUCAUUCCCCGGCCAGUGCAAAUACACACACUCUGGAGGUUGUACAGAAAUAGCACUGCUCUACAUUGACAAUACGUGCAUGUGCCUGACUGUAAUGUUUUAAAUAAGAUGGUCAUAAUGCUGGAAAUAGAUCAUUCACACGUGUGCAGGUGUUUACAUUUCAAACUAUUAUUAAUAUCGUGUUGAAGAAAAGACUUGAACCAAGCUGGGACAGCUUUGAGCUGCAGCUCUUAGUGCAUACAGUACAGACAUCACAAAGUAGACAGAAACAAUUAGACUAUGUUUGCAUUUGUAAUAUGAAAACAAAAUACAAAACAGUUGAUGCAUGUGA